UUCUCCUGAAUCUGCGAACGGCUCCGCAAACCAGCUGCAAUUCAGACCAUAUCCAGUGCGAGAUCAGCUGUCUCGGUGGGCUCCGGCUUAUUGAGCGGUCCUCGCACCCUGGUUCUCCCUGGCAAUUCUGGGGCUAAUACGAGAGAGACUGUCCUUUGUUUUGGCUGCCUCCCAAUGCCAUUCAACUCUCCGCUCCGGUGGAGGGGGUAGCGGGAUCAAAGGUGGCUAGGGCGAGGGGCUGUGUGUUAGGCUUGCAAUUGUUACGGAACGAGCACACUCCGCCGGUCCUUGUGCCGCCGUUGGCUCCACGCAAGUGGUGCUGCGGCGGAGGGUUUGCAGGCAUCCCGGAACCGAGUACAUGCCUUAUGGGUAGUGCCGGCUCUUGAGCGGUGUCAGUACGCCUAGAGGCCUAUGGGAAUGAUGUGUUGUCUAAUAAUUGUUCGGCAGGAGGAGGGACGUGGUAAGGUUGCGACGGGUACAGAGGAUUAGGGUUCGAUCCUGGAGAGUGGGCCUGAGAGAUU
rnacentral:rRNA from 1 species